rnacentral:rRNA from 1 species
GCCCUGAGGGGGAAAGUGGGGGGCCGCAAGGCCUCACGUUAUUCGAGCGGCCGACGUCUGAUUAGCUAGUUGGUGGGGUAAAGGCCUACCAAGGCGACGAUCAGUAGCGGGUCUGAGAGGAUGAUCCGCCACACUGGGACUGAGACACGGCCCAGACUCCUACGGGAGGCAGCAGUGGGGAAUUUUGGACAAUGGGGGCAACCCUGAUCCAGCCAUUCCGCGUGAGUGAAGAAGGCCUUCGGGUUGUAAAGCUCUUUCAGCUGGAACGAAACGGUACGCGCUAACAUCGUGUGCUAAUGACGGUACCAGCAGAAGAAGCACCGGCUAACUACGUGCCAGCAGCCGCGGUAAUACGUAGGGUGCGAGCGUUAAUCGGAAUUACUGGGCGUAAAGCGUGCGCAGGCGGUUUUGUAAGACAGAUGUGAAAUCCCCGGGCUUAACCUGGGAACGGCGUUUGUGACUGCAAGGCUAGAGUACGGCAGAGGGGGGUGGAAUUCCACGUGUAGCAGUGAGAUGCGUAGAGAUGUGGAGGAACACCGAUGGCGAAGCAGCCCCCUGGGAUGACACUGACGCUCAUGUACGAAAGCGUGGGUAGCAAACAGGAUUAGAUACCCUGGUAGUCCACGCCCUAAACGAUGUCAACUGGUUGUUGGGGGAGUGAAAUCCCUUAGUAACGAAGCUAACGCGUGAAGUUGACCGCCUGGGGAGUACGGUCGCAAGAUUAAAACUCAAAGGAAUUUGACGGGGACCCGCACAAGCGGUGGAUGAUGUGGAUUAAUUCGAUGCAACGCGAAAACCU